rnacentral:tRNA from 1 species
UCCCUGGUGGCUCAGAUGGUAAAGAAUCUGCCUGCAAUGCAGGAGACUCAGGUUCGAUCCCUGGUUUAGGAA